rnacentral:lncRNA from 1 species
GGCCCAAGCAACAUUUUACCAAUAAAUAUAGGUCCACAACUCACACAAGAGAAGGGGGGCAAUUUUAAAAAAAAAAACAAAAAAAAAACCUAAAUCUAAACCUAUCUCUAAUCAAACAACCGCCACCCCACCCUCCAAUGGCUUUCAUUUUCUCUCCUAAGCUGUCGCUCACUAUCUUCUUCUUCCCUGCACCUGAAGCAGCCCCAUUCCCACAUCUCCCCCUGCCCAACGCCAUUUCCUUCUCCCUCAGCCCAAAACCAGCCGCCACUUUCCAGUCCUUCUUCUCACUUUUGCCUCCUUCUCUCCCCCCACUUCCUCUGGUUCUCUCCCAAACCAAAACAGAACACUAGCCGCUCAUCUAAACAAGAAAAUCGACUCUCCCUCUAUAAGCAAAAGGACCACCCCCCAGCCUUUUCUAUGUGGUUGCUCCUUCUCCCUCAAACCAACCACCAGAAGACUCCACUUCUUCGGACCUUCCCUCCUCACCGGAUCAUCUGUCUUUCUCCCACAUAACACAAACCGAUCUUCCCAGAUCUCGUCAUCUCCUUCAACCGGUCAGCAGCAGACUCGGCUCUCGUUGGCCAGCCUUCUACUGCAGCGAAGACACUGCAACAACGCCAGUAGACCGGACGGAAACCCAAAGGCCAGCAGCCCUAUGGUCACACGGUCGGCCACCUGAAACAAAGAACAAGGGGAAACAAAAAGAAGCUGAGCUACGGAGAGAGAAGCAGAUCUGCAAAACAAAAGAAAAAAACAAACCUAAAAUCAAUUGUUUGUGUGUUUUUUGUUGUUGCAGGUAACAGUAGUCAUCACAACCGGCAGGGAAGGGAAGAGAAGAAGAAAGCCAGCCAGAUCCAUCCAUUUCCGGGCAUUGCUUGCGGCGGCGUGUGAACCCACACGCCAUCAGUAGCAGUGGCGCAUGGAAGAGAUGUGCCGCCACUAUUCCUAAAGUGCCAGAAGUCUUCCCAGCACUGCUCUGAAUGUUAGGGGGUUUAUUUUGUAAAUUUUAAAUUGUUUAAUAUAAUUUUUGUUUAUUUUUUAAUUUUUAUAUUUUGUAGUGUGGAUGUAAAAAAAAAGAAAAAGAAAAAUAUAGUGAAAGUGAAUGUGUUGUUUAUAUUUUUUUAUGGAUUUUUUUAAUGAUAAAAUUGCCAAGAAUAAAGAAAAAUUUAAUA